CCUACGGGAGGCAGCAGUGGGGAAUAUUGCACAAUGAGCGAAANCUUGAUGCAGCCAUACCGCGUGUNUGAAGAAGGCCCGAGGGUUGUAAAGCACUYUCAAUUGUGAGGAAGAUNGUNUCGYUAAUAUCGGCAUUGUUUGACGUUAACUUUAGAAGAAGCACCGGCUAACUCUGUGCCAGCAGCCGCGGUAAUACAGAGGGUGCAAGCGUUAUUCGGAAUUACUGGGCGUAAAGCGCGCGUAGGCGGAUUAUUAAGUCAGUUGUGAAAGCCCUGGGCUCAACCUGGGAACUGCAUCUGAUACUGGUAGUCUAGAGUUUAAGAGAGGGAAGUGGAAUUCCAGGUGUAGCAGUGAAAUGCGUAGAUAUCUGGAGGAACAUCAGUGGCGAAGGCGACUUCCUGGCUUAAAACUGACGCUGAGGUGCGAAAGCGUGGGUAGCGAACGGGAUUAGAUACCCCGGUAGUCCACGC
rnacentral:rRNA from 1 species